rnacentral:misc_RNA from 1 species
GCAAACUUGGUCAUUUAGAGGAAGUAAAAGUCGUAACAAGGUCUCCGUUGGUGAACCAGCGGAGGGAUCAUUACAGAGUUUACAACUCCCAAACCCUUAUGUGAACAUACCAAGAUGUUGCUUCGGCGGACUCGCCCCGGCGUCCGGACGGCCUAGCGCCGCCCGCGGCCCGGACUCAGGCGGCCGCCGGAGACCACCAAACUCUUUUGUAUCAUGAGUAUCUUCUGAAUCCGCCGCAAGGCAAAACAAAUGAAUCAAAACUUUCAACAACGGAUCUCUUGGUUCUGGCAUCGAUGAAGAACGCAGC